rnacentral:lncRNA from 1 species
AAAGCCACAAUCCCUUAUAGCCUGGGCUGCAGAAUUCCCUGGUGGACAGCCGAGAGCUUGUUGACUGCCCUGUGGUAUGUGAGCAAUUUGGAUCAAGUGUUAAAACCCAAGGCUGAGACAGACGGACGAACAGACAUCUGGCUCUUGCGAACAGUGCUAUUGACACAGCACAGUGACCCUGCUCCUUCUGCCAGGUCUUUCUUUCACACAAGGCCAUUUGUUUUCCUCUCAGUCCCCAUGGUGGUAUGGCUUUUUAUUGCAGAAUUAGCAGGCCAAGGUUACAGCUGUGUUGGCUUUCCAGGAGGAAUCAGCAGCCAAAUGAGGAAAAGUAAUCCUUGGAGUUGCAGCUGUCUCACAGUCAACUGAAGUGAGGAGCCCGAGAAGAAUAAGCAAGUGAGUGGGUGCAGAGAGGAGAAAAAUCAGAUUUGACUCUCUCGUGCCCCAAACACUCCCUACCUUUGCUUCCUUCCUCCAGCCUGGCAGCAAACACCAUCACUUAGUGAAGCAUCUGUCUUCUUCCAGGGAAAGGAAAACAUGUUUUCCCAGUAAAUAUUUAGAGAGUGUUUCCUGCUUGCAGAACCACUGAGGAUGGGUGUUUGUAUGUAGUUCUGUCUCCUGUGGUCAACGAGGCAACCCCCCCCCCCCAAUUUUUAAACUGAAUGGCUUAUGUGUGUGAAGGAAGCCCCAAAAGUUGACAGAUGCCUGGCCGGCUCCCAUAUUGGUGAUGCCAAUAGCUUAAGCCUGGGAAUCGUUGUGUUCCAAGGAGUGAUUCAGAAGCCACAGAAGAACCUCUCUAAUGUAUGAGUAUGAAAAAAAAAAUGAUGAACUUCCCUGAUGAGGCAGAUUAACUUUGUGUAAUUCAAAUCAACUACUAUUUCUUAAUUUAAUUCAGCUUAAUUUAAUAAGCAUUUAUUAAACAUUUAGUAAUGACUAGUGAGAACAUUCUUGUUGUGCAACCAUUUAUGCCAGAUUGCUAGUGACCUGGUAGACUAUAUCAUACCAAUUCUGUCCAUGGUGUGUCCUUGGCAUUGGUUUUGGAGUUGUCUUCCAUUUCCUGUUCCAGUGAAUUAAAGCAAAUGGAGGUUUAUGUGACUUGAAAAGGGUUACACAACUAAUAAAUGUCUGAAGUUGGAUCUGAACUCA